ACACUAUGAUGGUUGCAUAGUUCAGCAGAUUGAUUGGUGAAGUUAUAUCAUUCGACUGAUGUGUCU
ensembl:snoRNA